rnacentral:rRNA from 1 species
AGGGAAUCUUGGACAAUGGGCGAAAGCCUGAUCCAGCCAUGCCGCGUGUGUGAUGAAGGCCUUAGGGUUGUAAAGCACUUUCGCCAGGGAAGAUAAUGACGGUACCUGGAUAAGAAGCCCCGGCUAACUUCGUGCCAGCAGCCGCGGUAAUACGAAGGGGGCUAGCGUUGUUCGGAAUUACUGGGCGUAAAGCGCACGUAGGCGGCAUUCCAAGUUGGAGGUGAAAUCCCCGGGCUUAACCUGGGAACUGCCUCCAAAACUGGGAAGCUCGAGUCCGAGAGAGGUGAGUGGAAUUUCCAGUGUAGAGGUGAAAUUCGUAGAUAUUGGAAAGAACACCAGUGGCGAAGGCGGCUCACUGGCUCGGUACUGACGCUGAGGAGCGACAGCGUGGGGAGCAAAC